UGAUGAAGUGAAUACUUAAAAAAUAGAUAGCCAACUGUAUUAAUGCCUUAGCAGUGCUUCUGCUGAAGUAUAUUAGAGAAUGGAGCUUGGAUCUUAGAAUUAGAAUCUGCACAUCACAAUGGGGCUGUGUCCAGGCUGCAGACAAGACUGUGUAGCCACUUACCGAGCCAGCUUCAGGGACAAGCCUACAUUGGGCUCGGUCUCAAAUAGGUACUGCUGCCUGUAGAAGGACGUGACCCCGGUGGGUUACUGCAUUGCCACAGAAGCGGAGGCAUUGCAUCACUUCCAUUCCCAAGGGGUCGGCAUCAGCUCCUGUCUGCAGUGUCCCACAGGCUUGGCCUCCUCUCUCCUCCUUCAUCAUUUAUCUGAUUCCCCUUCCUUGUUAUACGUUUUGCCUCCAUAAAAAGAAACAGUUUGCUCACCCCUAGGUAGACCAGUUUGAAAACCUUGGCACUAUUGAUAUUUUAGACCACUUCCCAUCCACCCUUAACAAAAAUGUCUCCAGAUUGAGACCACAGUUCCAGAUGAUGAGAAUAGCACCCCUGCAAUCUUCACAAGGACCUAAGGACAAUCCAGGUUGCUGAAAGGUAAGAAAGAGGAAAGGAAAGGAAAAGAAAAU